GGGGGUGUAGCUCAGUGGUAGAGCAUGUGCUUAACAUGUAUAAGGCCCUGGAUUCCAUCCCCAACAACCCCC
rnacentral:tRNA from 1 species